UUACUUGUAAUAAAUGCCUCAAGAUUAAUAAAGUAUAUUAUUAUUAUUAUUAUGUCUUGUGUGUCUCAACUUUAUUUUUUGUGCAAGAAAGCAGAAAACAAGUAUGGGGGAGAUCCCUCGACAUGCCAAACACACUUCGAUUACACCACUCCACGAUUCAGGUACACACUUUGCACACUUUACACAUACACAUAUCUUGGAUUAUGCAGAAUACUGUUUCUGACAUGAUAAACUAAAAAGAUUAAAAUGUUUCUAAUCAUGAUUAAACUCACUCUGUGAUAUUUCCUAAAAACUUGCAAUUAUUGAAAAAAUCAUUUUAAAACCCUGUGUUACUUAAGUCAUUGUGAAACAUGAGAUGGUAGAGUAUGAGUUUCUUAUUCUUGAUAUCAUUGUUGCUUGGAGAAUUUAUUCAAAAAUUCUAGCUACCAUCCUUAGUGUUUUAUAUGCCUGAUAAAACUGAAAAUAUUAAUUAUGAUUAUAAAAGCUAUCUACUCUGUAUUGAGUUUGUUCAAAAUGAGUUAGACCCUUGUUGAGAGAUUUAUCAUGCUCCUAAGAUCAAGACAUCUAUUCAGAAAGAUUCACUCUUCUGAAGUAUUAUUGCAUUAGAGGCAUGGGCUAUGCAAAAAUAAGGAUAUUAUGAGGAAAUAAAAAGGAGCAAGUGCUCGAUAACCUCGCAGAAAAAAUGGACAAGUGUCCGGCAGUAGAAUUAGGGGUACCUCGGUAUCCACUUAAAAAAAGAGAAAAAGAAAGAAAAUGAUAGCCCAUGGUCCCUCUAAUAAGCAAUAUGCCAGCAAGAGUUGACAAAGAUUUUAAUUUCCAAAGUCUUUGAUCUAAGAGUAUGACAUUCUUCUCCUCAGAUCCCGUUUUGAUCAGGCAAUAAAUGCAAAGUAAGUAUGCUUGAGAAUUUUUGCAAAUUAAAACAACCUCAGUGAGAUAUAUAAAAAAAGAUAAUGAGUGAUCUGAGAGAACCUAUGAGGAUAAAAGGUAUGUUAACUUUCUUUCCGAAAAAUACACAAAAACUCCAAGUGACAGGAUUGAAAGGAAGAAAGGAUCUCUACUCUUAACCAUAUACUUCCCUGACUAUAGUACACAAUGGAUUUUAAUACCCUGCAAAUAUGAAGAGAAUGUUUUAAAAUGUUUUACCCCAGAUAUUAUUCUUAACCAUUCUUUUUCUCGAGGACGAGUAAAAGCCUAAGUAUGGGGGUAUUUGUUGACGGUUCUUAAGUAUCAAUUUUAAUUAUCAAAUAAACAAGAGAAAGGACCAAUAUGCAAACAACACCUAGAAUUAGGGUUUGAUCUGACAGAAUUCCAUGAGUUUUGUUGUUUAUCUAUUUCUGCACGGGGUUAUCAGGAAAUAAGGAAGAAAGGCUCACAUGUCGGGAUUACAUAGAGAUAUCAACGCACUGCGCAAUUUUCUACCA
rnacentral:lncRNA from 1 species